rnacentral:rRNA from 1 species
UACGUAGGGUGCAAGCGUUGUCCGGAAUUAUUGGGCGUAAAGAGCUUGUAGGCGGUUUGUCGCGUCUGCUGUGAAAUUUCGGGGCUCAACCCCGAACUUGCAGUGGGUACGGGCAGACUAGAGUGUGGUAGGGGAGACUGGAAUUCCUAGUGUAGAAGUGAAAUUCGUAGAUAUUAGGAAGAACACCGGUGGCGAAGGCGGACAUCUGGGACUCUACUGACGCUGAGGCGCGAAAGCGUGGGGAUCAAACAGG